rnacentral:rRNA from 1 species
UACGGGGGGGGCAAGCGUUGUUCGGAAUUACUGGGCGUAAAGGGCUCGUAGGUGGCCAACUAAGUCAGACGUGAAAUCCCUCAGCUUAACUGGGGAACUGCGUCUGAUACUGGAUGGCUUGAGUUUGGGAGAGGGAUGCGGAAUUCCAGGUGUAGCGGUGAAAUGCGUAGAUAUCGGGAGGAACACCGGUGGCGAAGGCGGCGAUCUGGGUCGAUACUGACGCUGAGGUGCGAAAGCGUGGGGAGCAAACAGG